CACGCAGCAACCACUGGCUGACCAGAAUGAAGAUGACUUUCAAGAAAACCAGAACACAUCAGAAAAGGACAACUCACUGAGGAGUAGAGCUGUGCAGAACAGAGAGCAGGGAAACGCCAAACAGGAUGAAGAGCAGGUCACUCUUGAGCAGGAUUCUCCAAGAAAGAAAGAAGACAAAAAGGACGAUCAAGAGGUGCAUCAAGGGG